AAACACUAUCGUGGAGCAGAUGGUGGUCAACCUGCAGUUAUCAGAGUGAGAAAAUAAUGUUCAUUCUUUCCAUUAGAUGGAGUAAUCUUGUAUUUGUUGGCAAAUAAAUAAAAUCGAGAGAUGUAGUUUAAUUUUUUUACUCCUAAAGUUUUUUUUGCUCCUGAAGGUCACCCACCAUCUACGCCGACUAAGCCUAAAAAUUCGCCAUAAAAAUAUAUCUUUCUGGAACGCCCAACACGCCGUGAAUUCUCGCCCUAUAUUCGCUCUAAUAAAACAGAGUUCUAAUAAAACUUAACGCUGUACAAUCUUACUACAGGCGUAACUGGGCGGAGGACUGGCGCUAGUGAAUGCACAUGUGCAACGACGAUUCAUCUGAACAGCGGUUAACUAAUAUGGAAAUCACCAUUCGUUGCUUGAACGAAAUUUGAAGGAAAGAAUCCAACCUG